CGCGGCCUAUCAGCUUGUUGGCGGGGUAACGGCCCACCAAGGCAACGACGGGUAGCUGGUUUGAGAGAACGAUCAGCCACACUGGAACUGAGACACGGUCCAGACUUCUACGGAAGGCAGCAGUAGGGAAUCUUGCGCAAUGGGCGAAAGCCUGACGCAGCGACGCCGCGUGCGGGAUGACGGCCCUAGUGGUUGUAAACCGCUUUCAGCAGGGACGAAAAUGACGGUACCUGCAGAAGAAGUCCCGGCUAACUACGUGCCAGCAGCCGUGGUAAUACGUAGGGGACAAGCGUUGUCCGGAUUCAUUGGGCGUAAAGAGCUCGUAGGCGGUUCAGUAAGUUGGGCGUGAAAGCUCCGGGCUCAACCCGGAGAGGCCACUCAAUACUGCUGUGACUAGAGUCCAGUAGAGGAGCGUGGAACUCCUGGUGUAGCGGUGAAAUGCGCAGAUAUCAGGAAGAACACCGGCAGCGAAGGCGGCGCUCUGGGCUGGUACUGACGCUGAGGAGCGAAAGCAUGGGUAGUAAACAGGAUUAGAUACCCUGGUAGUCCAUGCCGUAAACGUUGGGCACUAGGUGUGGGGAGGAAUCAACCCUCUCCGUGCCGUAGCUAACGCAUUAAGUGCCCCGCCUGGGGAGUACGG
rnacentral:rRNA from 1 species